UACGGAGUCAGGUAGAAAUAUAA
rnacentral:piRNA from 1 species